GACGAACGCUGGCGGCGUGCUUAACACAUGCAAGUCGAACGGAAAGGCCCUGCUUGCAGGGUACUCGAGUGGCGAACGGGUGAGUAACACGUGGGUGAUCUGCCCUGCACUUCGGGAUAAGCCUGGGAAACUGGGUCUAAUACCGGACAGGAGCCAUUUUUAGUGUGAUGGUUGGAAAGUUUUUUCGGUGUAGGAUGAGCUCGCGGCCUAUCAGCUUGUUGGUGGGGUAAUGGCCUACCAAGGCGGCGACGGGUAGCCGGCCUGAGAGGGUGGACGGCCACAUUGGGACUGAGAUACGGCCCAGACUCCGACGGGAGGCAGCAGUGGGGAAUAUUGCACAAUGGGCGCAAGCCUGAUGCAGCGACGCCGCGGGGGGGAUGACGGCCUUCGGGUUGGAAACUCCUUUCGCUAGGGACGAAGCUUUUUGUGACGGUACCUAGAUAAGAAGCACCGGCUAACUACGUG
rnacentral:rRNA from 1 species